GUGGGGAAUCUUCCGCAAUGGACGAAAGUCUGACGGAGCAACGCCGCGUGAGUGAAGAAGGUUUUCGGAUCGUAAAGCUCUUUCGUUAGGGACGAACGUGCUCUUUGUGAAUAAUGAGGAGUAAUGACGGUACCUAAAUAAGAAGCCACGGCUAACUACGUGCCAGCAGCCGCGGUACUACGUAGGUGGCAAGCGGUGUCCGGAAUUAUUGGGCGUAAAGCGCGCGCAGGCGGGAUAUCAAGUCUGUCUUAAAAGUGCGAGGCUCAACCUCGUGAGGGGACAGAAACUGGUAUUCUUGAGUGUCGGAGAGGAAAGUGGAAUUCCAAGUGUAGCGGUGAAAUGCGUAGAGAUUUGGAAGAACACCAGUGGCGAAGGCGACUUUCUGGACGAUGUCUGACGCUGAGGCGCGAAAGCUAGGGGAGCGAACGGGAUUAGAAACCCCUGUAGUCC
rnacentral:rRNA from 1 species